AUGUCUUCCUCCAGCUCCUUCUCGCCUAGCCUCAACAAUCAGGUCACAGAGAAGCUGUCGCGCAUGAACUACGUGCUGUGGCGCACGCAGAUCACACCUUAGCUGCGCGGUGCCGGCGUCUUCGGCUACAUCGACGGCACAAACCCGGAGCCGGUCAAGCUCCUUGUCACCACCAAGGAUGGCAAGGAGACUUCAUCGCCCAACUCUCUCCAUCCUAUAUGGGUACGGGAGGAUCAACAGGUCCUUGGCUACCUGCUGAAUAACCUCACAAAAGAGGUCCUGGACACGGUGACCACGGUC
rnacentral:rRNA from 1 species